rnacentral:rRNA from 1 species
CAACUUUCAACAACGGAUCUCUUGGCUCUCGCAUCKAUGAAGAACGCARCGAAMUGCGAUAAGURAUGUGAAUUGCRKAAUUCRGUGAAUCAUCGAAUCUUUGAACGCACCUUGCGCCCCUUGGUAUUCCGAGGGGCAUGCCUGUUUGAGUGUCAUGUAAUUCUCAAU